rnacentral:rRNA from 1 species
ACGGCUCAGUAACACGUGGACAACCUACCCAAAGGUCUGGGAUAACUCCGGGAAACUGGGGAUAAUACCGGAUAGGUCAAGAGUACUGGAGGGGUUUUUUGAUUGAAAGCUCUGGCGCCUUUGGAUGGGUCUGCGGCUGAUUAGGUUGACGCCGGUGUAAAGUACCGGCGUGCCGAUUAUCAGUACGGGUUGUGGGAGCAAGAGCCCGGAGAUGGAUUCUGAGACACGAAUCCAGGCCCUACGGGGCGCAGCAGGCGCGAAAACUCUACAAUGCAGGCAACUGCGAUAGGGGAACAUCGAGUGGCAUCUACAUUAGGUGUCUGUCCAGCUGUCUAAAAAACGGCUGUUAGCAAGGGCCGGGCAAGACCGGUGCCAGCCGCCGCGGUAAUACCGGCGGCUCGAGUGGUGGCCGAUAUUAUUGAGUCUAAAGGGUCCGUAGCCGGCUUUGCAAGUCUUGUGGGAAAUCCAGCGGCUUAACCGUUGGGCGUCUGCGGGAUACUACAUUGCUUGGGACUGGGAGAGGUAGGAGGUACUCAGGGGGUAGGAGUGAAAUCCUGUAAUCCUCUGGGGACCACCGGUGGCGAAGGCGUCCUACCAGAACAGGUCCGACGGUGAGGGACGAAAGCUAGGGGCACGAACCGGAUUAGAUACCCGGGUAGUCCUAGCCGUAAACGAUGCCCGCUAGGUGUCACGGCAGUCGUGAACUGCCGUGGUGCCGUAGGGAAGCCGUGAAGCGGGCCACUUGGGAAGUACGACCGCAAGGUUGAAACUUAAAGGAAUUGGCGGGGGAGCAC